rnacentral:rRNA from 1 species
GGUAAGUUCGUCAUCUUCUUCGCGGUGUUCCUGGCGGCCCUGGUAGCCGUCUCCGCCACCCAAGGCGUCACGGACGCGCAGUGCCGGGGCGAGGUCCAGGAGAAGCCGCUCCUCGCGUGCCGGCAGAUCCUCGAGCAGCAGCUGACCGGCCGCGCCGGCGAGGGCGCCGUCGGCGUCCCGCUGUUUCAGGCACAAUGGGGCGCCAGGGAGCGGUGCUGCCAGCAGCUCGAGGGCGUCAGCCGUGAGUGCCGCUGCGCCGCCCUCCGCGGCAUGGUGCGGGACUAGGAGCAGUCCAUGCCGCCGCUGGGACAAGGGCACCACGCCUCGUCGGGGCAGGGUCCACAAGAGCAGGGAUGUUCCGGCGAGUCCACGGCGGAGCCGGAGCAGCAGCAGGAUGUACAGGGAGGGCAGUAUGGCAGUGAGACAGGAGGAAGCCAGCAGCAGCAGCAGGGAGGAGGCUACCACGGCGUGACCGCCGGGCGUGGUGGUCAGCAGCAAG